AAAAAAAAUUUAAUUAUUUAUUCAUUCACUAAAUAUGUGCCUUGUGGGUAGGGAAGAGCUAGCAGUUGGAACCUCAUGGAACCUGGCCUUAAAUUAGAGCCACCAAAUGUACAAGUGCAGCUACAAUGAGUAAUUUCUUAUGGUUUAUAAUCAUGCAAGCGACCUGAGGUAAGGAUGGCUUACGCACAAGCAACACAUCCACUGAAGUGGCAACAAUAGUCACAUGCACUUUUCUCUUAAAAUGGCAGAAAUAUCUCUUGUUCUAUCUUCUCCUAAGAAAUACAGAAGUCUUAUAAUUCAUAAUUCUAUAUAUAGUUAGUCCAUUAAUUCUUUAUGCAGUUCCAUGUUUUAUCACA
rnacentral:misc_RNA from 1 species